rnacentral:rRNA from 1 species
UGGGGAAUUUUGGACAAUGGACGCAAGUCUGAUCCAGCCAUGCCGCGUGCGGGAAGAAGGCCUUCGGGUUGUAAACCGCUUUUGUCAGGGAAGAAAAGCUCUGGGCUAAUACCCUGGGAUGAUGACGGUACCUGAAGAAUAAGCACCGGCUAACUACGUGCCAGCAGCCGCGGUAAUACGUAGGGUGCAAGCGUUAAUCGGAAUUACUGGGCGUAAAGCGUGCGCAGGCGGUUAUGCAAGACAGAUGUGAAAUCCCCGGGCUCAACCUGGGAACUGCAUUUGUGACUGCAUAGCUAGAGUACGGUAGAGGGGGAUGGAAUUCCGCGUGUAGCAGUGAAAUGCGUAGAUAUGCGGAGGAACACCGAUGGCGAAGGCAAUCCCCUGGACCUGUACUGACGCUCAUGCACGAAAGCGUGGGGAGCAAACAGGAUUAGAUACCCCCGUAGUCC